AAUUAGAAAAUCAAACCCUAAUUCACUAAGGCCAGCCGAUUCGUCUCCCUCAUCUCCCAUUUGUUAUUACCCUAAUUUCUCGCUCAGCAGCUCUGUGAGGAUCUCUCUACGCUCUCUACUUCGUUUUCGAGCAAUUUCACUCCAUCCUUCCAAAAUCAAACCCUAAAUCGUCCUUAUACUUCCCAAAUAAUCCACAAAACCCCAAAAAUUACACAAAAGUUAAGUGUUUUAGUUCUUACAUGCGUUUGAGUCGGAAGUCAUCACUGUUUUUGGACGAACAAACCGUAGAUCGCGAAAGUUUAAAAUCACGAUUUCAAACAGAAUAAAAGGUUUUCUAUCUAUAGUUCAAAGGAGGUAAACAUGUCUCAACGAACAACAUAAAUAACUACUGGUAAUGCAAGUAUGAAUUGACAAUGACAGAAUUUUAUUCUUUUUCAAAUGAAAGUUGAAGGAUGAUAUAGAGAUUUACCAAAUGUGCAAGCGUUCUCUAUUGGAUGCUUAAUCUUCAAGAAAAUGCCUUCUUCCUCGUGAAUGCUUUCCCAGCAUGCUGUAUGCAUCUCCAUCAUUUUUAUCUACUCUCCAACUUCAUCUUCAUGAAAAUGGGUCUGAAUUGUGAGGACUUAUUUAUAGUGUUAGAAACUCCUGUGUAUUUAAUGUUUUAGUAUUGGGGAUUGCAAAAGUUGUUUAA